rnacentral:sRNA from 1 species
CUCCCACCCAUGUUUAUUGUACCUUGUUGCUUCGGCGGGCCCGCCUCACGGCCGCCGGGGGGCUUCUGCCCUCUGGCCCGCGCCCGCCGAAGACACCAUUGAACACUGUCUGAAGAUUGCAGUCUGAGCAAUUAGCUAAAUAAGUUAAAACUUUCAACAACGGAUCUCUUGGUUCCGGCAUCGAUGAAGAACGCAGCGAAAUGCGAUACGUAAUGUGAAUUGCAGAAUUCAGUGAAUCAUCGAGUCUUUGAACGCACAUUGCGCCCCUUGGUAUUCCGGGGGGCAUGCCUGUCCGAGCGUCAUUGCUGCCCUCAAGCACGGCUUGUGUGUUGGGCUUCCGUCCCUGGUAACGGGGACGGGCCCAAAAGGCAGUGGCGGCACCAUGUCUGGUCCUCGAGCGUAUGGGGCUUUGUCACCCGCUCCCGUAGGUCCAGCUGGCAGCUAGCCUCGCAACCAAUCUUUUUAACCAGGUUGACCUCGGAUCAGGUAGGGAUACCCGCUGAACUUAAGCAUAUCAAUAAGCGGAGGAA